UACAGAGGGUGCGAGCGUUGUCCGGAAUCACUGGGCGUAAAGGGCGCGUAGGCGGCCUGAUAAGUCGGGGGUGAAAUCCUGUGGCUUAACCACAGGGCUGCCUCCGAGACUGUCGGGCUCGAGCACAGUAGAGGCAGGUGGAAUUCCCGGUGUAGCGGUGGAAUGCGUAGAGAUCGGGAAGAACAUCGGUGGCGAAGGCGGGUCUCUGGGCCGAUACUGACGCUGAGGAGCGAAAGCAUGGGGAGCGAACAGG
rnacentral:rRNA from 1 species